GCACACACUAUUUCCUUUCCCUUUUUCAUUAAAGGAAAUAAUCAGAAGCAAAAAGGGAGAGAUGGAGCAGAGCUGCGAUCAGGGGAGGGGAUGAGCUGCGCUACUGUCGCCGGUCACCUUGCCGUCGUGCCUAGAUCGCGUCCAGCCCUCGUCACCGUCGCUCAUCUCACCACCGCCAGCUGCGUUGUCCCCACCAAGCCGCCAAACCUGUCUAGCUGCCGCGCCACCACGCCUCGCCUUCGAACCAUCCCGCUUCUACCACCGUCACGGAGAAGAGGCGUUGAAGAGGGGGCAGAACUCGAGUCUCGUCGCCGCCAUCCAAGGGGCCUCAAGCCGCGUCGCUGUCACCGGAAAGAGGGGGAAGACGCGGGCUAGAGGAGCAAGAUGAGUCCUUCUGUCUCCGUUGUUCUGGUCAGCUGAGAAAGGGAAGAUGCUGCCUUUGUGCUUCACGUGUCACCGACGAGCACGGAGAAGAGGAUCCGUGGCUGCGUCACUGCCGUUUGGAGGGGCUGUGCUUGGCCGCCGUUGUACUGCCCUGCUUCACCGUGGCUGAGCUCUGCCACUCCCUACCCCUUUGGGCUUGUGAUAUUGUUGUAGGAAUCACUACAGCAAGAGGAGCAGGCUAAGUCACCAUGAUUUGAGCCGCCAAGGAAGGUUAUGUGACUUCCGGGACCACCGCCGAAGCCUCGAACCGAGCCUCUGCCGCCGGAGAACGCUCUACUGGUAAGGGUUUUAAAUUUGUGGUUUCAGUCAUCUUGGGUUUCGAGAAGGUUUUGAUGCUGCGUGGUUUUUAUAGUUGAUCCACCGGAGUUUCUAGCCGCUGCCAGAGCUGUUGUCGGGUCGGUUUGAAAUUACAACUGCUUCGUUUUGUUAAUUCGGAAUUAGAAUCCGGUUUGUUUCUACCGCUUGUAGCUGUUUCUACUUUUGAGAGAGCAAGCAGAGCCAAGAUUUUGUUUGCCGGUGAUUUCGGGCUGAGCAAAAAGGAGUCAGUUAACGAGUUUGGGUUAUGGAUUUGUGUUUUGAGGAUAUGGACGCAGAAGUCACGAAGAGUUUAUUUAGUUGUUGUUGAAAUGCUCUGUAUUGCUUUAGAUUAUUAUUUAUUGUACCCUCGCCUUUAUCUUUAUAUAUAUU